GCGGGGGUUGCCAAGCCAGGUCAAAGGCGCAGGGCUUAGGACCCUGUCCCGUAGGGGUUCGUGGGUUCGAAUCCCACCCCCCGCA
rnacentral:tRNA from 1 species